rnacentral:lncRNA from 1 species
ACCAUUUUGUAACCCCCCAUAGUGUUAGAUGUUAGGAAGUACAGGUAAAGAAGAAUGUGUUGCAACACUUUUGGAUGGCAACACCAGUACAAGUUAUGUUGACACCGUUACAUUUGCUUGCAAGUUAGAGCUGAUUAUGGAUGUAUUUUUAAUCUAGCAAUUCCUAGAUGCCCGCAUAGCGACUGAUAAAAUACCUCUCAUUUGCAAUGUUGAAGUGUUUACCUUUGGGAAAUCCAUGACAGAAAUAACCGUAUUUUUGUCACCAGCAGCUGGAUCCCUGCCAUACUGUCUGGAGGAAUAAGGUUGUUCUGGACAAGAGGAACAAUGGGAGCAGAAUGGCUGAUAUAUGCGUGCACACAGUUUUCCCCUAUUCAUCUCUGAUGAUGCCAGUGAGGUGAAGAGUCUGUGUUUUACCAUCAAAGGUCAGCCCUCCAGGAUGUCUGGAAGCUGCAGUGUGGCCCCUGCAUGCCAAUCUACUGGAGAAUACAUUUAGGGCUGGGUCUGGAGAAGGGUGAUGUGCGUUAUCUUUCUAAGAGCACUGUGGUGAUAUUCUUGGGAAUUAUCUAUCCCACACUGAGGGAGCCUAUCUGAAGCUAACACAGUCCUUGCAAAGUGCAAGGUAAUUAACCAUUCUCCUCCCCCUAUUUAUCUUGAAUUUUGCUUCCAUCUAGUUGUUUUUCACGCUUGUAAAGUAUAAUUUGAAUAGAGUUUUAGCACUUUCUUCCUACACAACCCCUCACUCUCCGUUCCCUCCCUCCAUAACAUUGCAGUGAUCUGAGUGUGAAUUAUCUCAGAGUAAGGGUGGGUGAACUAUUCUGCCUGAGCACAGCAACACUGAAGACAAUGGAGCACAGCGUCAGCGAU